GGAUUGAAUGGGCGCAGCCUGAUCCAGCAAUGCCGCGUGAGUGAAGAAGGCCUUCGGGUUGUAAAGCUCUUUUGUCAGGGAAGAAAAGGGUGCGGCUAAUAUCUGCGCCUCAUGACGGUACCUGAAGAAUAAGCACCGGCUAACUACGUGCCAGCAGCCGCGGUAAUACGUAGGGUGCAAGCGUUAAUCGGAAUUACUGGGCGUAAAGCGUGCGCAGGCGGUUUUGUAAGACUGUCGUGAAAUCCCCGGGCUCAACCUGGGAAUGGCGAUGGUGACUGCAAGGCUAGAGUUUGGCAGAGGGGGGUAGAAUUCCACGUGUAGCAGUGAAAUGCGUAGAUAUGUGGAGGAACACCGAUGGCGAAGGCAGCCCCCUGGGUCAAAACUGACGCUCAUGCACGAAAGCGUGGGGAGCAAACAGGAUUAGAUACCCUGGUAGUCCACGCCCUAAACGAUGUCUACUAGUUGUCGGGUCUUAAUUGACUUGGUAACGCAGCUAACGCGUGAAGUAGACCGCCUGGGGAGUACGGUCGCAAGAUUAAAACUCAAAAGAAUUGACGGA
rnacentral:rRNA from 1 species